UGCCCCGACGUUCGCCCUCGGGCAGCGGU
rnacentral:sRNA from 1 species